GAUGAACGCUGGCGGCGUGCCUAAUACAUGCAAGUCGAGCGAACGGACGAGAAGCUUGCUUCUCUGAUGUUAGCGGCGGACGGGUGAGUAACACGUGGAUAACCUACCUAUAAGACUGGGAUAACUUCGGGAAACCGUAGCUGAUACCGGAUAAUAUUUUGAACCGCAUGGUUCAAAAGUGAAAGACGGUCUUGCUGUCACUUAUAGAUGGAUCCGCGCUGCAUUAGCUAGUUGGUAAGGUAACGGCUUACCAAGGCAACGAUGCAUAGCCGACCUGAGAGGAAGACCAGCCACAAGUGGACUGAGACACGGACCAGACUACGACGGGAGGCAGCAGUGGGGAAUUGUGGACAAUGGGGGCAACCCUGAUCCAGCCAUGCCGCGUGCGGGAAGAAGGCCGUCGGGUUGUAAACCGCUUUUGUUCGGGAAGAAAUACUCUGGGCUAAUACCCCGGGGGGAUGACGGUACCGGAAGAAUAAGCACAGGCUAACUACGUG
rnacentral:rRNA from 1 species